rnacentral:rRNA from 1 species
UGGCUCAGGAUGAACGCUAGCGGCAGGCUUAACACAUGCAAGUCGAGGGGCAGCGGGGAGGAAGCUUGCUUUCUCCCGCCGGCGACCGGCGCACGGGUGAGUAACACGUAUGCAACCUGCCCCUGUCAGGGGGACAACCCGCCGAAAGGCGGGCUAAACCCGCGUACAUGCCACCGGGGCAUCCCGGAGGCAGGAAAGGCUUCGGCCGGACAGGGAUGGGCAUGCGGCGCAUUAGGCAGUAGGCGGGGUAACGGCCCACCUAACCGACGAUGCGUAGGGGUUCUGAGAGGAAGGUCCCCCACACUGGUACUGAGACACGGACCAGACUCCUACGGGAGGCAGCAGUGAGGAAUAUUGGUCAAUGGUCGGGAGACUGAACCAGCCAAGCCGCGUGAGGGAUGAAGGUACAGAGUAUCGUAAACCUCUUUUGUCAGGGAACAAAGGCGGGGACGUGUCCCCGGAUGAGUGUACCUGAAGAAAAAGCAUCGGCUAACUCCGUGCCAGCAGCCGCGGUAAUACGGAGGAUGCGAGCGUUAUCCGGAUUUAUUGGGUUUAAAGGGUGCGCAGGCGGUCUGUUAAGUCAGCGGUCAAAGCCCGGGGCUCAACCCCGGCCCGCCGUUGAAACUGGCAGUCUCGAGUUGGAGAGAAGUAUGCGGAAUGCGCGGUGUAGCGGUGAAAUGCAUAGAUAUCGCGCAGAACUCCGAUUGCGAAGGCAGCAUGCCGGCUCCACACUGACGCUGAGGCACGAAAGCGUGGGUAUCGAACAGGAUUAGAUCCCCUGGUAGUCCACGCAGUAAACGAUGAAUGCUAGCUGUCCGGGGGGGAUUGACCCCUGGGUGGCGAAGCGAAAGCGAUAAGCAUCCACCUGGGGAGUACGCCGGCAACGGUGAAACUCAAAGGAAUUGACGGGGGCCCGCACAAGCGGAGGAACAAGUGGUUUAAUUCGAUGAUACGCGAGGAACCUUACCCGGGCUCAAACGGGGAGUGACUCAGGCAGAGACGCCUGUUUCCCACGGGACACUCCCCGAGGUGCUGCAUGGUUGUCGUCAGCUCGUGCCGUGAGGUGUCGGCUUAAGUGCCAUAACGAGCGCAACCCCCGCGUGCAGUUGCUAACAGAUAACGCUGAGGACUCUGCACGGACUGCCGGCGCAAGCCGCGAGGAAGGCGGGGAUGACGUCAAAUCAGCACGGCCCUUACGUCCGGGGCGACACACGUGUUACAAUGGGUGGUACAGCGGGAAGCCAGGCGGCGACGCCGAGCGGAACCCGAAAUCCACUCUCAGUUCGGAUCGGAGUCUGCAACCCGACUCCGUGAAGCUGGAUUCGCUAGUAAUCGCGCAUCAGCCAUGGCGCGGUGAAUACGUUCCCGGGCCUUGUACACACCGUCUGUCAAGCCAUGGGAGCCGAGGGCGCUUGAAGUGCGUCGCCGCGAGGCGCGCCCUAGAGCGAAAUCGGUGACUGGGGCUAAGUCGUAACAAGGU